GCCCACCAGCUAGCCCCCACCCCAGAACUAAAUAUUCCAUAUAUAUACUUCCCCCCCACCCCGCAAUUAAACAAACCAUUCUUCCUCCCCAGUACGGGCGACAGAAAAG
rnacentral:rRNA from 1 species